rnacentral:rRNA from 1 species
GAAUGAUGGUGACCUAAACCCUCACCAGAGUAACAAUUGGAGGGCAAGUCUGGUGCCAGCAGCCGCGGUAAUUCCAGCUCCAAUAGCGUAUAUUAAACUUGUUGCAGUUAAAAAGCUCGUAGUUGAAUUUCUGCGUUAUCGAGUUAUUGACUCUUGUCUUUAAUCGAUUUCGCUUUUGGGAUUUAUCCCUUUUUACUUUGAGAAAAUUAGAGUGUUUCAAGCAGACUUUUGUCUUGAAUACUUCAGCAUGGAAUAAUAGAGUAGGACUUUGGUUCUAUUUUGUUGGUUUUUGAACCUUAGUAAUGGUUAAUAGGAACGGUUGGGGGCAUUCGUAUUUAACUGUCAGAGGUGAAAUUCUUAGAUUUGUUAAAGACGAACUACUGCGAAAGCAUUUGCCAAGGACGUUUCCAUUAAUCAAGAACGAAAGUUAGGGGAUCGAAGACGAUCAGAUACCGUCGUAGUCCUAACCAUAAACUAA